GACGAACGCUGGCGGCGUGCUUAACACAUGCACGUCGAACGGUAAGGCUCCAGCUUGCUGGGGUACACGAGUGGCGAACGGGUGAGUAACACGUGGGUGACCUGCCCUGCACUUCGGGAUAAGCCUGGGAAACUGGGUCUAAUACCGGAUAGGACCGCACCGUGAGGGUGUGGUGGAAAGUUUUUUCGGUGUGGGAUGGGCCCGCGGCCUAUCAGCUUGUUGGUGGGGUAAUGGCCUACCAAGGCGGCGACGGGUAGCCGGCCUGAGAGGGUGGACGGCCACAUUGGGACUGAGACACGGCCCAGACUCCUACGGGAGGCAGCAGUGGGGAAUAUUGCACAAUGGGCGGAAGCCUGAUGCAGCGACGCCGCGUGGGGGAUGACGGCCUUCGGGUUGUAAACUCCUUUCACCAUCGACGAAGGGUUUCUGACGGUAGAUGGAGAAGAAGCACCGGCUAACUACGUGCCAGCAGCCGCGGUAAUACGUAGGGUGCGAGCGUUGUCCGGAAUUACUGGGCGUAAAGAGCUCGUAGGUGGUUUGUCGCGUCGUCUGUGAAAUUCCGGGGCUUAACUCCGGGCGUGCAGGCGAUACGGGCAUAACUUGAGUACUGUAGGGGAGACUGGAAUUCCUGGUGUAGCGGUGAAAUGCGCAGAUAUCAGGAGGAACACCGGUGGCGAAGGCGGGUCUCUGGGCAGUAACUGACGCUGAGGAGCGAAAGCAUGGGGAGCGAACAGGAUUAGAUACCCUGGUAGUCCAUGCCGUAAACGGUGGGCGCUAGGUGUGGGUUUCCUUCCACGGGAUCCGUGCCGUAGCUAACGCAUUAAGCGCCCCGCCUGGGGAGUACGGCCGCAAGGCUAAAACUCAAAGGAAUUGACGGGGGCCCGCACAAGCGGCGGAGCAUGUGGAUUAAUUCGAUGCAACGCGAAGAACCUUACCUGGGCUUGACAUAUACAGGAUCGCGCCAGAGAUGGUGUUUCCCUUGUGGCUUGUAUACAGGUGGUGCAUGGUUGUCGUCAGCUCGUGUCGUGAGAUGUUGGGUUAAGUCCCGCAACGAGCGCAACCCUUGUCUUAUGUUGCCAGCACGUUGUGGUGGGGACUCGUAAGAAACUGCCGGGGUUAACUCGGAGGAAGGUGGGGAUGACGUCAAAUCAUCAUGCCCCUUAUGUCCAGGGCUUCACACAUGCUACAAUGGUCGGUACAGUGGGUUGCCAGUCCGUGAGGGCGAGCUAAUCCCGCAAAGCCGGUCUCAGUUCGGAUCGGGGUCUGCAACUCGACCCCGUGAAGUCGGAGUCGCUAGUAAUCGCAGAUCAGCAACGCUGCGGUGAAUACGUUCCCGGGCCU
rnacentral:rRNA from 1 species